rnacentral:rRNA from 1 species
GGGGGGGGGGGGGGGGGGGGGGGGGGGGGGGGGGGGGGGGGGGGGGGGGGGGGGCGGGCGUGUGGGAUGGUAGGGGGGGAGGGGGGAGUAAGGGGGGGAUAACGCGCGUGUAGGGCGGGGAGAACGUCGGGGAAGCGGAGCUGAGACGGGCGACUAUUUUGAAGCGGAUGGUGCAGAGGUGAAAGACGGGCUUGCUGUACGUUGUAGAUGGCUCCGCGCUGCAGUAGCUAGUUGGUAAGGUAACGGCUUACCACGGCAACGAUGCAUAGCCGACCUGGGAGGGUGAUCGGCCACACUGGAACUGAGACACGGUCCAGACUCCUACGGUAGGCAGCAGUAGGGAAUCUUCCGCAAUGGGCGAAAGCCUGACGGAGCAACGCCGCGUGAGUGAUGAAGGUCUUCGGAUCGUAAAACUCUGUUAUUAGGGAAGAACAUAUGUGUAAGUAACUGUGCACAUCUUGACGGUACCUAAUCAGAAAGCCACGGCUAACUACGUG